GUGCCAGCAGCCGCGGUAAUUCCAGCUCCAAUGGCAUAUAUUAAAGUUGUUGCGGUUAAAACGCCCGUAGUUGGAUCAGCGGAUUUGGAGAACGGUCUGCCGAUGGGCUGUACUGUUCUCCUGUCCUAUUUUCUCUAGUUCGCUCUAGGUGCUCUCCACUGAGUGUCUAGAGUGGCUGGAACUUUUACUUUGAAAAAAUUAGAGUGCUCAAAGCAGGCGUCUCAGCCUGAAUAGUGGUGCAUGGAAUAAUGGAAUAGGACCUCAGUUCUAUUUUGUUGGUUUUCGGAGCAUGAGGUAAUGAUUAAGAGGGACAGACGGGGGCAUUCGUAUUACGACGUUAGAGGUGAAAUUCUUGGAUCGUCGCAAGACGAACUACUGCGAAAGCAUUUGCCAAGAAUGUUUUCAUUAAUCAAGGACGAUAGUUAGAGGUUCGAAGGCGAUCAGAUACCGCCCUAGUUCUAACCGUAAACGAUGUCAACCAGCGAUCCGCAGGAGUUAUUCAUGACUCUGCGGGCAGCUUCCGGGAAACCAAAGUUUUUGGAUUCCGGGGGGAGUAUGGUUGCAAAGCUGAAACUCAAAGGAAUUGACGG
rnacentral:rRNA from 1 species